GCCGCGGUGGUGGAAUGGCAGACACGCAUGUUUGAGGUGCAUGUGGAGAAAUCCGUGGGAGUUCGAGUCUCCCCCGCGGCA
rnacentral:tRNA from 1 species